rnacentral:lncRNA from 1 species
UAACAAGAACUCUGUCUCCAUAAACUGCUUCCAAUUUUGAUACAAUUAAAGAUUUUCACAAAGAGUAUAUACUAGUACACUCAUUUCGCAACUGGAAUUCUAUUUUUUUAAAGAUUUAUUUUAUUUAUUUGAAAGAGUUACAGAGAGUCAGAGACAGAGAGAGAGGUCUUCCAUCCAAUGGUUCACUCCCCAGAUGGCUGCAACGGCCAGAGCCGAGCCUACCCGAAGCCAGGAGCCAGGAGCUUUCUCUGGUCUCCCACAUGAGUGCGGGUGCAGGGGCCUAAGCACUUGGUCCAUCUUCUACUGCUUUCCCAGGCCAUAGCAGAAAGCUGGAUUAGAAGUAGAGCAGCCAUGGCCCAUAUGGGAUGCUAGCACUUCAGGCUAGGGCUUUAACCUGCUGCACCACAGCGCUGGCCCCUGGAGCUUCUGAUUUUUCAUUAAUACUAUGAAUCCUAUUCACAAAACAUUUACCAUGAUAACAUUUUGUCACUUGUUAAUCAACAAUGAGUAAGGCAAAUUUUCCGUAAAUAUAUUCUGUUCAAGUACCCUUUAAGGCUAUUUCAUUGGUAAGCAACUUUUUGUUAUAACUCAUGCUGAAAUAAGUUAUGAAGAAUUAUGAUAUAACUCAAAACAAUAUAUAAUUAUUUCAGAUAUGGUACAUAAAGAGUGGCUAGACUGAUGGCUUCACUAAAGUCUGCAUCAUAAUAUCUUGAAAGGUGGGUUCUCUGAUUUGUGUAAGAUUAAUAUUGUCAAAGUAACCAACUUUUUUUCUCCAUUUCCUUUUUGUUUCAAAUGGAAGUCCAAUAUGCCUACUGGGUUCACUCGCACUCCAGAAAGCUGAGGAUUCUGCUUCUUUAUUCAUAUAUUUACCAUUCUUCACAGUAUGCAAGUCAAGUUGUGGCUUACUACAUAUUUGACAGUUGGAAUGGAACUCAAUGACAGGAGAAGAAAUGAGGAGAAUCAGCACAUGUGUUACAUGGGUCACAUCAAGAAAUGGUACUGACUCAGGAUGUUGGGAACAAGGGUUGGGGGUUUCCUACUUUCUUCAAGAUUUUUGCAUGAAUCCUUUAGAGUUGUGGAUUCACUCUAAGAAUUAAAUGUUCAUGUGUGGGUGUGUAGCUUUUUUUUUUUUUUUAUGGAUGGGGAGAAGAGGGUAGGGCAGGAGUCAAGUUUUAAGGACAAAAGAUCCAAAAUAGGAUAGUGCAACGGGCACACAAAAGAACAGAUGAUUAAAGAUAUCCACUUCAAAAAGAAGAUCCACCAAAUUUAUGUUUCAGACCAUUUUGCCCAGUGCAGAACCUUCUGCCAAAGAUGCUUUGGCUAUUUUUCUCUCAAUACAGAAAGAAGUUUGUAAACAAUAAAACUGCAAAAGAACAUAGAGAAAGAUCA